UACGUAGGGGGCUAGCGUUGUCCGGAUUUAUUGGGCGUAAAGAGCGUGUAGGCGGCCAAGUAGGUCCGGUGUGAAAACUCGAGGCUCAACUUCGAGCUGUCGGUGGAAACUUUCUGGCUAGAGUCCGGAAGAGGAGAAUGGAAUUCCUGGUGUAGCGGUGAAAUGCGCAGAUAUCAGGAAGAACACCCGUGGCGAAGGCGGUUCUCUGGGACGGUACUGACGCUGAGACGCGAAAGCGUGGGGAGCGAACAGG
rnacentral:rRNA from 1 species